AGUACGGCCGGCAAGGCUGAAACUCAAAGGAAUUGACGGGGGCCCGCACAAGCGGUGGAGCAUGUGGUUUAAUUCGAAGCAACGCGAAGAACCUUACCAGGUCUUGACAUCCUCUGACAACCCUAGAGAUAGGGCUUCUCCUUCGGGAGCAGAGUGACAGGUGGUGCAUGGUUGUCGUCAGCUCGUGUCGUGAGAUGUUGGGUUAAGUCCCGCAACGAGCGCAACCCUUGAUCUUAGUUGCCAUCAUUUAGUUGGGCACUCUAAGGUGACUGCCGGUGACAAACCGGAGGAAGGUGGGGAUGACGUCAAAUCAUCAUGCCCCUUAUGACCUGGGCUACACACGUGCUACAAUGGACGGUACAAAGAGCUGCAAGACCGCGAGGUGGAGCUAAUCUCAUAAAACCGUUCUCAGUUCGGAUUGUAGGCUGCAACUCGCCUACAUGAAGCUGGAAUCGCUUGUAAUCGCGGAUCAGCAUGCCGCGGUGAAUACGUUCCCAGGCCUUGUACACACCGCCCG
rnacentral:rRNA from 1 species